UAAAAACAAAGCAGGGGGCGCUAGUGAGCCAUUUUGCCAUUCCCAUGCACAACAUUCGUAUGCCAUAAGGACAUUUUCACCAUAAUCGAAUGCUGUGGAAAGUUUGAGUUUUUGAGCAUGUUUAGGUCGCAAAAAAUGUGAUUCAUUUGGGAAAAUAAUAUUUCCUUGCAUUUAAAUAGGGUCCUCGCAUGCUUCAUGCUCGAGCCUAGCAUAGGAACAAAAAAGUAAAUGACACAAUGCCAAAACCACACAGACAACGAGAAGUAAGUGAGGGAAAACUGUCCAGGGAGCUUAGCAAAGGGGCUGGUGUUCUGAGUUCUGGCCACAAGGAGCAGGAGUCGACGGGGCAUCAUCAGGGACCAGGAGCUGAUGUCGGCAGUUGAGUACUCAACAACAGACAAUGGGAAGACACUUCAAGAGGAAGGUGAUUAACAAUGCACAGGCGUUCAGGAUAAGUGGGAGUAGCUGGCCUGUGAGCCCAAGUUGGUAACUGACUUUCCCGAUACCGGGGAGGUAAUCGAUGUUCUGUCCAAAAACAGCGGCCCUUUGUGUCAACAGAGACGUCUGGUGGGCCGCCAUCAUGGUGAGGUCGGCUUAGCCGGAAACCUGCCCUGCUUCUGUGGUUCUCCGGUCUUCCCUGCCAGUCAGCACACCCUCUGGAGUUUCCCUCACCUCGUCUGCUAGCCCUCUCCUUCGGAACCCAGGCCUUGCCUCACUCCCCCAUCAGUUUUCCCUCAGUCAUUUCAUAAAUAAAACUCUUUUGUUCAUCUCCA